UACGGAGGGUGCGAGCGUUAAUCGGAAUUACUGGGCGUAAAGCGCACGCAGGCGGUUUGUUAAGCCAGAUGUGAAAGCCCCGGGCUCAACCUGGGAUGGUCAUUUAGAACUGGCAGACUAGAGUCUUGGAGAGGGGAGUGGAAUUCCAGGUGUAGCGGUGAAAUGCGUAGAUAUCUGGAGGAACAUCAGUGGCGAAGGCGACUCCCUGGCCAAAGACUGACGCUCAUGUGCGAAAGUGUGGGNAGCGAACAGG
rnacentral:rRNA from 1 species